UCCCUGUCAGGGUCGCACCUGGAGAGUUUCCAGUACUCUGCCAGUCUCGGCUACGGGAGGAAGAGUCAAGCAGAGGCCUACCCAUUCCAUUCCUAGCUUGGGCAGCGGCUAGCGAGUGGAAGGCAGUCAGCUACAAGU
rnacentral:snoRNA from 2 species